CUCAAUCCAAGGGGGAGCAUCAUAGAUUGUAUCUAUCCAAGCCUGGAUAUAGACAAUCUGAUCGGGGUGAGCGGGGGGCCCAAAUACAUACUGGCGGACCGCUCGAGCUGUCUCCAUAUCAAAGGACCCAAAAGGGGGCCAGACUCCUUGGGUCCCCAGGGGCCCAAAUACAUACUGGCGGACCGCUCGAGCUGUCUCCAUAUCAAAGGACCCAAAAGGGGGCCAGACUCCUUGGGUCCCCAGGGGCCACUCCUGUGUGACAAAGGUUGUUAGUCUGGCUUUGCGAACCCUUUCCCCAUAUCUCCCACCUCGCCUCUGGAAUUCUUUAAAGUGGUCAAUGACAAGGCUAAGGGGAGUGCUGGGAACAGAUUCGUUCCGACCCAUAAUGGACUCGUUCUGACCCAUAGCUGGUGGUGUCGCUGGUUUUGCUGGAAAAAAACUUAAAAGGCAAAGUUAGGGUUAAACAGAAAAACUACAGAGACUAGGCAAACGGUCGGAAUCACCUUUGCCCACUCCGAAUUCCAGGAAGGAGCUCCUAAGAAAGAAGGCUCUGUUAGAGUUAGGUGACCAAAAAGGGGAACAAUUAGAACAAAUGAACACACAGACCGACACACAAGACGAGACAAGACAAGACAAGCUGCAGCAGAAUGGCCUUUGCUCAAA
rnacentral:lncRNA from 1 species